rnacentral:misc_RNA from 1 species
GAUGAAGAACGCAGCGAAAUGCGAUACGUAAUGUGAAUUGCAGAAUUCAGUGAAUCAUCGAAUCUUUGAACGCAUAUUGCGCUCUCUGGUAUUCCGGAGAGCAUGCUUGUUUGAGUAUCAGUAAACACCUCAACUUCCAUAUCUUUUUUGAAAUGGGAGUUGGACUUGAGUGAUCCCAACGCUUUUCCUCACCGAAAAGUGGCGGGUUACUUGAAAUGCAGGUGCAGCUGGACUUUUCUCUGAGCUAUAAGCAUAUCUAUUUAGUCUGCCUAAAUAACAGAUUAUUACCUUUGCUGCAGCUAACAUAAAGGAGAUUAGUUCUUGUGCUGACUGAUGCAGGAUUCACAAAGACAGGCUUCGGCCGACUUUGUAAACUCGAUCUCAAAUCAAGUAAGACUACCCGCUGAACUUAAGCAUAUCAAUAAGCGGAGGA